rnacentral:tRNA from 1 species
GUAUAGCUCAGUGGUAGAGCGUGUGCUUAGCAUGCAUAAGGUCCUGGGUUCAAUCCCCAGUGC